CCUACGGGGGGCUGCAGUAGGGAAUCUUCCGCAAUGGACGAAAGUCUGACGGAGCAACGCCGCGUGAGCGAAGAAGGUCUUCGGAUCGUAAAGCUCUGUUGUUAGGGAAGAACAAGUACGGGAGGAAAUGACCGUACCUUGACGGUACCUAACGAGGAAGCCACGGCUAACUACGUGCCAGCAGCCGCGGUAAUACGUAGGUGGCAAGCGUUGUCCGGAAUUAUUGGGCGUAAAGCGCGCGCAGGCGGUCUUUUAAGUCUGAUGUGAAAUCUUGCGGCUCAACCGCAAGCGGUCAUUGGAAACUGGGAGACGUGGUGUGGGAAGAGGAAGGGUGAAUUCAACUGGUGGGGUUGAAAGGCGGAGAGUGUGGGAGGAACACCAGUGGAGAGGGGGGGUUUCUGGUCGGUACCUGGCGCUGGGGCGCAAAAGCGGGGGGAUCAAACGGGAUUAGAUACCCUUGUAGUC
rnacentral:rRNA from 1 species